rnacentral:rRNA from 1 species
AUGGAUGUGCAUUCAGCUCCUUGUUGUUCCACCGAGGCCAAGGCACCUAUUGAGCACCUAGUUGAGCAGUUUGCUUCCGGCAUAACCAACUUGCUUGGGAAGUUGGUCGAGGGUUGGACACCAUUGAAUGGUUCUGAUAGUGACGUGGUUGUGACACAGUUCACAUCUUUUGUCAGAGAACACACACAUCAUCCAACUGGCUGCCAUGGCCGGUAUGACUACAACAGUUCUCAGGAGCUCCCUAACAUGCAAGAGGAACUAGCCGGUGAUGGUUUUGGUGGCGUCAAUGCUGGUCUCGACAAGGAUGGUGAUGCUGCCAUGGAGAAUGUGCAACAUGACACUGACCAUGAUGAACCUCGGGAAGUUCGUGUAGGAGGUAAAAACGACAAGGUUGCACCGAAUUUUCCUCCACCAGAGGGAGGCAUUGCCCCAACUGUUGCAAGAGACAAGGGUGUUCCUCUCUCAAAGAGGGGUAGGGCUCCAGAGGGUGCUGCCCAGGUCCUUGGUGGCAAGAGGUGUUGGAUCGAUCCCGUUGCUGCUAGGAGGAGGUUUGAUGUUUAUUUACUAUGUCCUUCGUUCUUUUUCUCACACCCGUCUUUUUUUGGUAUGUAUGCCAUGAUUUUGUGUCUCGCACUUGGGUUUUUGCAUUUUUUGUCUCUCUUUCCCAUUGUUUUGUGCAGUGAGGUGACAGCCGGUGGCCAAUCAGUUAAGUAG